CAACUAACGCCAAAACAUCACUAACCCUAAUACCCUUCCCUCCUUCUUCAUGCAAAAAAGACCCUAGCAGAACGAAAGAAGAAGCAGCAACCGAACACCCCGAACACCCCUAAGAGAUCCCAGCGACAUCUCUUCACCGUUGAUUCGUUGACCACCUCCAUACACCAACGACCCCUGCUUCUGUCAACCAGCGCACGACCACCACAACUAGCCGAACACCAUCCCCAGAACACGCCGCCAAGCUCGUCGAAGAAACAGCGGCAGCACCGCCCCCAACUUCCCCAAAUCACAUGAAAGUUUCAGUUUCUUUUUGAUUUCGUUAGUUCUCAAAUCCGAAGGAAAAAAUCUGUUUCCUCUUCUCCAUUUCAAUUAUGUUUUUUUUGUAGAAAUGGAGUUUUAAAUGGAGUCAUUUUGGGUUCGAGUUGAAGCAAUGGUAGAGGCCCGUUCGGGGCUCGGUUCGCAUUUCUGUUCGAAGCUAGUUCGUUCGAGUUCCGUUCGUCUCAAAUUUUGGCUUACCUUGCUUAUGUAAUUGCUAAAAAAUUUAAUUAAUUGAAGUUUUAAUUUCGGGGUUUCAAGUUAUAGUGUCUAAGUUGAAGUUUCUUUUCUGUCCAAAUAAUCCAUACUGUAUUUGGGAUCUGUUGGUUUGCUUAGAGAAAUUCAAAGAGGAGGAGAGGCAGAAAGGUUCCAGGUUUCUUUUCUGUCCAAAUAAUCCAUACUGUAUUUGGGAUCUGUUGGUUUGCUUAGAGAAAUUCAAAGAGGAGGAGAGGCCGAAAGGUUCCAAGUUUCAUGGCUGAUAUUAUUGCUUAUCAAUUUUCUCAUCCGAUUUUAUGUUGGAGAUUUCAACAAAAAAAAUAUGUAUAUAUAAAGGAGACCAUGAUUCUGUUUUAAAUCAAUUAGGAAAGAUAAAAUAUACCAAAUAUUUCUUUUUCUUCUAUUCAGUUUCGAAACUUUGGUUUUUGAUGGAGUUUGAAUGAGGCUG
rnacentral:lncRNA from 1 species